AACUGAGUGCCGUAGUGGUUUGAGUGUUGGACUAUGACUCUGGAGACCAGGGUUCAAUUCCAGGCUUGGCCA